UACGGAGGGGGCUAGCGUUGUUCGGAAUUACUGGGCGUAAAGCGCACGUAGGCGGCUUCGUAAGUCAGAGGUGAAAGCCCGGGGCUCAACCUCGGAACUGCCUUUGAGACUGCGUCGCUUGAAUCCGGGAGAGGGGGGUGGAAUUCCGAGUGUAGAGGUGAAAUUCGUAGAUAUUUGGAAGAAUACCAGUGGCGAAGGCGGCCCCCUGGACCAGCAUUGACGCUGAGGUGCGAAAGCGUGGGGAGCAAACAGG
rnacentral:rRNA from 1 species